UGUCCCUAGAAUUUCUAAGCAAACAGCGGGAGGCAGGGCUUUCUCCUAUAGAUCUCCAUUUUUAUGGAACAGUCUGCCUACCCAUGUGAGAGACGCAGACUCGGUCUCAACCUUUAAGUCUUUACUGAAGACUUAUCUCUUCAGUAGGUCAUAUGAUUGAGUGUAGUCUGGCCCAGGAGUGUGAAGGUGAACGGAAAGGCUCUGGAGCAACGAACCGCCCUUGCUGUCUCUGCCUGGCCGGUUCCCCGCUCUCCACUGGGAUUCUCUGCCUCUAACAAUGUUACAGGGGCUGAGUCACUGGCUUACUGGUGCUCUUUCAUGCCGUCCCUGGGAGGGGUGCGUCACUUGAGUGGGUUGAGUUACUGACGUGAUCUUCCUGUCUGGGUUGGCGCCCCCCCUUGGUUUGUGCUGUGGUGGAGAUCUUUGUUGGCUAAACUCGGCCUUGUCUCAGGAUUAUAAGUUGGUGGUUGAAUAUAUCCCUCCAGUGGUGCGGGGGCUGUGCUUUGGCAAAGUGGGUGGGGUUAUAUCCUUCCUAUUUGGCCCUGUCCGGGGGUAUCUUCGGAUGGGGCCACAGUGUCUCCUGACCGCUCCUGUCUCAGCCUCCAGUAUUUAUGCUGCAGUAGUUUGUGUCGGGGGGCUAGGGUCAGUUGGUUAUACCUGGAGUACUUCUCCUGUCUUAUCCAGUGUCCUGUGUGAAUUUAAGUAUGCUUUCUCUAAUUCUCUCGUUCUCUCUUUCUUUCUCUCUCUGAGAACCUGAGCCGUAGGACCAUACGUCAGGACUACCGGGCAUGACGACUCUCUGCUGCCCCAAAUCCCCCUAGCCUUGCUGCUAUUCCAGUUUCAACGGACCUGAGCCCUGGGACCAUACGUCGGGACUGCCGGGCGUGGUGGCUCCUUGCUGUCCCCAGUCCGCCUGGCCUUGCUGCUGUUCUGCCUGCGGUUAUGGAACCGCCACCUGUCCCAGACCUGUUGUUUUUCAACUCUUAAUGAUCGGCUAUGAAAAGCCAACUGAAUAUUAUUCAUGAUUAUUAUUUGACCAUGCUUGUCACUUAUGAACAUUUUUGAACAUCUUGGCAUAGUUCUGUUAUAAUCUCCACCCGGCACAGCCAGAAGAGGACUGGCCACCCCUCAUAGCCUGGUUCCUCUCUAGGUUUCUUCCUAGGUUUUGGCCUUUCUAAGGAGUUUUUCCUAGCCACCGUGCUUCUACACCUGCAUUCUAGCUGUUUGGGGUUUUAGGCUGGGUCUCUGUACAGCACUUCGAGACAUUAGCUGAUGUACAAAGGGCUAUAUAAAAUAAACUUGAUUGAUUGAUUGA